rnacentral:hammerhead_ribozyme from 1 species
AUCCAAUUGACGAGUCCCAAAUAGGACGGAACGUGCAUCCUGGAU